rnacentral:rRNA from 1 species
GAAAGAUUCAUCGGAAGAGGAUGGGCAUGCGGCGCAUUAGCUAGACGGCGGGGUAACGGCCCACCGUGGCGACGAUGCGUAGGGGUUCUGAGAGGAAGGUCCCCCACACUGGUACUGAGACACGGACCAGACUCCUACGGGAGGCAGCAGUGAGGAAUAUUGGUCAAUGGGAGAGAUCCUGAACCAGCCAAGCCGCGUGAGGGAAGACGGCCCUAUGGGUUGUAAACCUCUUUUGUCGGAGAACAAAACCCGGGACGAGUCCCGGACUGCGUGUAUCCGAAGAAAAAGCAUCGGCUAACUCCGUGCCAGCAGCCGCGGUAAUACGGAGGAUGCGAGCGUUAUCCGGAUUUAUUGGGUUUAAAGGGUGCGUAGGCGGUCCGUUAAGUCAGCGGUAAAAUUGCGGGGCUCAACCCCGUCGAGCCGUUGAAACUGGCAGACUUGAGUUGGCGAGAAGUACGCGGAAUGCGCGGUGUAGCGGUGAAAUGCAUAGAUAUCGCGCAGAACUCCGAUUGCGAAGGCAGCGUACCGGCGCCACACUGACGCUGAGGCACGAAAGCGUGGGGAUCGAACAGGAUUAGAUACCCUGGUAGUCCACGCAGUAAACGAUGAAUGCUGGUUGUCCGGGUCGAA